GAGCCGGUCCAUGAAGAACGUGAUGCACCCAGUCUGACAGCACCUUCACCUCACCCGCCGAUGUUUGACAAGUCGCCACAUUCGCUCGAUAAAUCAUAUCCGGCCUUUGAUGCAACACCCUCAUUUGACCAUCGAAAUACUAAAUCCACAAAUGGUUCUAGUGGCGUCGGUGAGCAUUUGUUUGAUCAGGAGUCUUGGAAUGAUAUGUCAAGUAUCCUCCGCGAAAUCAAUGAAACACAGAGAUCAACAAAUGAUCAAAGUGGAAUUUGUGAAUCACUGACAAGGCCCCUCUCCCCCCUAGCUUUAUUUUUUUUUCACACAUAGGAGAGUGCUUUGAUGAGGUCUUUCUUUUCCUUCUCUUUUUGUAUGGUGACAUGUCAAAAGAAACAAUCUAUGAUUCAACCCCAGUGCACACCUAUAAGAGGCGGUAUCUGAAAAAAAGAUGGACAUACCAGAGGAGUAUCAGCCCCCUGCCGAGUUAGGAUGUGAUUUGGUCACAUUACAACUGACUAACAAGGUUACAACUAGAAGCAGCAAGUUCGUGUCCCCUUUCAAAGAACCAAUUUUAUAUCGCCAGCCACCUAAUGUCGAAAAAGCAAUGAAACUUCGGGACAUAAUCUUGGCAUCACCUCCGAGCAAAGAGUUGCGCACGCGCAGGUUUCUGAAAGCAAAAGAAGAGUACCACGUCCACAUAAUUUAUACCUAUCUCGAGGAUAGAUCAAACGUUUGCGAUUCUUUCGCGGACAAUAUGCCAUGUAAAUACUCAUUCAUCUAGUUCUUCGGGAUGUGCUUAAUGCUAGACGAGAAAGAACUAAACCCCAAUUCUGCUGGAUAUAGGAUCAUCCUACCACCCUCACUUACGGAUAUGGUACUGUAUGAACAGUAUUGCACAGGGUCCCCGUACUCACCUGAAGUCGCACUUUCAUAUUUGGAGGGUUCUUUCGACCCGGAAGAAAUACUACAUGCUAAACUUGUUUUCCUACCUGUUCUACAGAAAAUGCACUGGUCAGUACACUGUGUGAACUUGGUACACGGACAAAUUGAUAUUCUGGACCCAUCCCCGUGGACUGACCAACAACAAAAGGAGAUCCAUGGAGGCAUAGCUCAUCGGAUACGCAAGAGGCUUAAUGAUAUUUUUCAGAGCUUUACCGGUGGCAGGUUCAUAGAUUUCAGCCAUUGGGGUUUGCCAUACGUUCCGGUCCCGAAGGUUGUGGUUAGCAAUGAUUGUGGAUUCUUUACCAUGCUUUUCCUAGAACAUUAUG